GCCAAAAACCUAGCCCUAUCUCAGCAAAUGACCCCCCAAACUAAUACCAUAAACAAAACAUUUUCUUCAUUUAGUAAAGGCGAUUGAAAAAUCAAUUAGAGCUACAAUAAUAGUACCGCAAGGAAAAGAUGAAAUAAAUAUGAAACAGAUCUUAAAGCAUUAAAAAGCAGAGGCAUAUCCUCGUACCUUUUGCAUCAUGAUCUAACUAGUUCAACCAAGCAUAAAGAACUUUAGUUUGACUCCCCGAAACUAGGCGAGCUACUUCGAGGCAGCUUAAUGAGCCCACCCGUCUCUGUUGCAAAAGAGUGGGAAGACCCCCAAGUAGCGGUGAUAGACCUAACGAGCCUAGUGAUAGCUGGUUACUUAAGAAAAGGAUCUAAGUCCAACCUAAAGCAUUAUUAAUAACACUAAACAUCUCUUAUGCUUUAGAGCCACUCAAAUGAGGUACAGCCCGUUUGAAAUAAGGAUACAACCUACACCAAUGGGUAAUUUUCAUAGUAAUUUAAACAAGUGGGCCUAAAAGCAGCCACCUUUAAAAAAGCGUCAAAGCUUUCCUAUCAAAUACACUAAUACCACAAUAUAUUAAUAACCCUUCAUAAGUAUUAAGUUAUUCUAUAACCUUAUAGAAGAAUUCAUGUUAGAACUAGUAAUGAGAAGAUAGCCCUUCUCUUAGAUGUAAGUGUAAAUCAGAAUGGACAAACCACUGCUAAUUAUACAUUAAUGAAUAUAAAACAAUAACCUUACUAGAAAACUUUGUUUUUACAAAUGUUAACCUGACACUAGCACAUCACAAGAAAGAUUUAAAGAAAAAGAAGGAACUCGGCAAAUAUUAACCUCGCCUGUUUACCAAAAACAUCGCCUCUUGACCCACAUAAGAGGUCCAGCCUGCCCAGUGACUAAGUUCAACGGCCGCGGUAUCCUAACCGUGCGAAGGUAGCGUAAUCACUUGUUCUUUAAAUGAGGACUAGUAUGAAUGGCACCACGAGGGUUAUACUGUCUCCUUUUUUUAAUCAAUGAAACUGAUCCCCCCGUGAAGAAGCGGGGAUAAAUUUAUAAGACGAGAAGACCCUAUGGAGCUUUAAACAAUUAUAGCACUGGCCCACACCUCCCCUUCUUCCGAGAUAUAAUUAUUAUACAGGCCAACAUGACUAUUAGUUUUAGGUUGGGGUGACCGCGGAGCAAAAACUAACCUCCACGUUGAACGGAGCUACUCCUGAGCUAAAAGCUACAUCUUUAAGCACCAAUAAACUGACAUCAAUUGACCCAAUAUAUUGAACAACGAACCAAGUUACCCUAGGGAUAACAGCGCAAUCCAUUUCAAGAGCCCCUAUCGACAAAUGGGUUUACGACCUCGAUGUUGGAUCAGGGUAUCCCAGUGGUGCAGCCGCUACUAAAGGUUCGUUUGUUCAACGAUUAAAACCCU
rnacentral:rRNA from 1 species